rnacentral:rRNA from 1 species
GAUGAACGCUGGCGGCGUGCCUAAUACAUGCAAGUCGAGCGAACAGACGAGGAGCUUGCUCCUCUGACGUUAGCGGCGGACGGGUGAGUAACACGUGGAUAACCUACCUAUAAGACUGGGAUAACUUCGGGAAACCGGAGCUAAUACCGGAUAAUAUAUUGAACCGCAUGGUUCAAUAGUGAAAGACGGUUUUGCUGUCACUUAUAGAUGGAUCCGCGCCGCAUUAGCUAGUUGGUAGGUAACGGCUUACCAAGGCAACGAUGCGUAGCCGACCUGAGAGGGUGAUCGGCCACACUGGAACUGAGACACGGUCCAGACUCCUACGGGAGGCAGCAGUAGGGAAUCUUCCGCAAUGGGCGAAAGCUUGACGGAGCAACGCCGCGUGAGUGAUGAAGGUCUUCGGAUCGUAAAACUCUGUUAUUAGGGAAGAACAAAUGUGUAAGUAACUAUGCACGUCUUGACGGUACCUAAUCAGAAAGCCACGGCUAACUACGUG